rnacentral:lncRNA from 12 species
UUUUAUUUUUAUUUUUUUUUAAUUAUCAAACUUUUAAAUGAGGUUUCUUAAAUUGUGUUCAGGGAUCACCUAUUAUUGAAAAACAGAUUCCUGGGCCCAGUCCCAUAUUUAUUAUAUUAGUUUUUUAUUGCUGUGUAACAAAUGACCACUAAUUUAGCAGUGUAAAACUACACAUAUUUAGUAUAUUCCAGUUCUGAUGUCCCAAGUUUGGGCCAUAUGGCUAGGUGUUCUUUGUUUAUGGUCUAACUAGGGUAGCUUCUUACUGAAGACUCGGGGAAAAGUCCAGUUCAAAUCUGAUUUAGUUGUUGGCAAAAUUCAGAUUCAUGCUGUGAGCUGAGGGCAGUUUUCUGUUGUUGGAAGCCACCCACAUAUUUUUCCCACCCAGCCCUUCCCAUAUUCAAACCAGCUAAGGCACAUGGAAUCCUUUCUGUACUUGGAAUCUCUCUGACUUUUUUUGCUGUUGCGUGUCAGAUAAAACUCUCUGCUUCUGAAGCACUCAUAUGAUUAGUGUAGGCCCAACUAGAUAAUCUCCACAUUUUAAGGUGUGCCAGCUUGAGACUUUAAUUACAUCUGCAGAAUCCCUUCAUAGCAGUACCUCGAUUAGUGCUUAAUUGAAUAAGCGGGGUAUGGGAAUUGUGGGGGGCCCAUUUUUAGAAUUCUGUCUACCACACCUACUAAAUCAGCAUCUCUUCAGGGGAGCCAAUGAAAUCUAUCUUUUUAACGGCACUCCAAGUGAUUCUGAUGAAUAAUAAACUUUGAGAACUACUGGCUUAGAAGAAUAAUAAGUAAAGCAGUGAACAUUAGGUAUUAGGUGACUGAUGUAGAAAAUUGUUAUAGGAAUUCCAAAUGAGGGACCACUGAAGACUGAAGAUGCUGAAGAUUACAGGGAUGCUUGUGGACAAACUGGACAUGCAGAAAGGAACAGCAGGUUUUCCAGGCAGGGCAGAAGCCCUGGCUGAGAGAGAACUUUGGCAUCCAAAGGGGCUUCUUCCAGGACUCCUGAGAUAAAUGGUGGUUUGGGCUGACUGCCAGCAAAUCGAAGCCUGCGCAAGUUUAUCUAAUUUGUUGAUUUUGAACUUUCAAGAGAAAUGAGAACACCUUGAAAGGAGAAUCACUGCUCGUAACUUUUAGUCAUUCUAAUGGCCUUUAUCUACUCACUGAAACUCAAUUAUGCAUACAAAGAGGUACAGUGUAUUGUGCUAGUUUUUCAUGGAAUUUAUGUUUAGAUUAUUGUAUUAACAAAAUUAGCCCCCUCUCCCUCUAAAACUGGAUUUUUAUUAUUUUUUUAAAGAUUCUAUUAUUUGUUUGAGAGAGAGAGCGAGCGAGAGAGAGUAGAAUAGGAGGGAGGGUCAGAGAGAGAAGCAGGCUCCUUGCUGAGCAGGGAGCCCCAAACAGGGCUCAAUCCCAGGACCCUGAGAUCAUGACCUGAGAUGGAAGUAGGUGAUUAACCUACAGGGCUACCCAGGCACCCCAAAACUGGAUUUUUAUAGUUCUGAUCCAUCAUUGAAUUUUCUGGAUUCCUUUGAGAUCUGUCUUUGGGUGGGGUGUUGGUUUGUCUUCUGUUUUGAAGGAGAGAAUAUUGUUUCUGGUAGGAUUGAUGGCAUCUAGAACAAGAACUUUCUGAGUAACCUUCUAUUACCUUUUACACUUUGAUGUUGAGGAGAGGACAGGUGAUUUUCCCAGGGAUACUCGUCAGUAGGGAGCGUAAGAGGAGUGCAAGCCGGUUGGUAGCCUAUUUACAACAAUGAAUGUCCUAGUUGACCUUCCCUUUCUACAAAAUACCUGCUUGAAGAAUCCUCUUUGCUAUUCAUGGAACUACAGGGGUCUUCGGGCAUCUCAUUGUAAAUGACCUCUUCUGGAUCCUCAGUCACAGUUUCCUAGGGAAUUAGUGGUGACCUCAACUCACACACAAAACAUUUAGUCAUUACUUCUAACAUCAUACUAAAAUGCUACACAGUUUGGGGAAGGUUCUUUUUAGCAUUUUUAGUUUCCUAUGGUCAUUUCCUUA